rfam:Gossypium raimondii Chr11_contig_46, whole genome shotgun sequence.
UGUUAAAAAUUUUAACUAUUUCUACUGUUAAAAAUUGGUACGGCUACCUCAUUCUAACGUAUAAGGAUCAAUUUUUAACAGUAAAAAUGGAUGAAAUUUUUAACA